GCCGGGGUGGCGGAACUGGUAGACGCGGCGGACUUAAAAUCCGCUUCCCGUGAGGGAGUGUGGGUUCGAGUCCCGCCCUCGGCA
rnacentral:tRNA from 1 species